AGCGAACGCUGGCGGCGUGCUUAACACAUGCAAGUCGAGGGAGAACGGCGGGCUUCGGCCUUCCUAGUAAACCGGCGCACGGGUGAGUAACACGUAGGUAACCUACCUUCGAGACUGGGAUAACCCAUCGAAAGAUGAGCUAAUACCAGAUAUGACCACGGGAGUUUCGGCUUCUGCGGUGAAAGAUGGCCUCUGCUUGCAAGCUAUCACUCAAAGAUGGGCCUGCGCGCCAUUAGCUAGUUGGUGGGGUAACGGCCACCAAGGCUACGAUGGCUAGUUGGUCUGAGAGGAUGACCAGCCACACUGGGACUGAGACACGGCCCAGACUCCUACGGGAGGCAGCAGUGGGGAAUAUUGCGC
rnacentral:rRNA from 1 species